rnacentral:rRNA from 1 species
CCCGCUGAACUUAAGCAUAUCAAUAAGCGGAGGAAAAGAAACUAACAAGGAUUCCCCUAGUAACGGCGAGUGAAGCGGGAAGAGCUCAAAUUUGAAAUCUGGCGGUCUACGGCCGUCCGAGUUGUAGUCUAGAGAGGUGUUUUCCGCGUCGGACCGUGUACAAGUCCCUUGGGAUAGGGCGUCAUAGAGGGUGAGAAUCCCGUCCAUGACACGGACUGCCGAUGCUUUGUGAUGCGCCUUCAAAGAGUCGAGUUGUUUGGGAAUGCAGCUCAAAAUGGGUGGUAAAUUCCAUCUAAAGCUAAAUACAGGCGAGAGACCGAUAGCGAACAAGUACCGUGAGGGAAAGAUGAAAAGCACUUUGGAAAGAGAGUUAAACAGUACGUGAAAUUGUUGAAAGGGAAACGCUUGGAGUCAGUCGCGUCGGCCGAGACUCAGCCUUGCUUAUGCUUGGUGCACUUCUCGGUUGAUGGGCCAGCAUCAAUUUCGACUGCCGGAGAAGGAUCGAGGGAAGGUGGCACCUUUCGGUGUGUUAUAGCCCUCGGUUGUACACGGUGGUUGGGAUUGAGGAUCGCAGCACGCCUUUUGGUCGGGGUUCGCCCACGCCACGUGCUUAGGAUGCUGGCGUAAUGGCUUUAAACGACCCGUCUUGAAACACGG